rnacentral:rRNA from 1 species
GCAGCAGCGGUUAUACGUUAUUAUAAAUUAAUCUAUACUGAAUAAAUUCAUUUAAUAUAUUUCUAUAAAAAAUGAAAUUUCUAAUAAAAAUAAUACAAAAAUCAUCCUACUAAAAGUCUAAAACCAGGAUUAGAUACCCUGCUAUUCUUUCCUUUAUAAUAAUUCAAAGAAAAAAAACAAAAUAAAUUUGACGGUAUUAACUUUUACAAAGGAAUUUGUUUCUUAAUCGACAAUCCACGAAUUACCUUACUUAGCAAUUAUUUGUAUACCACUGUAAAGAAAUUAUCUAAAAUAAAUUUCAAAAAAGGAAAAAACUGAAAAAUCAAGUCAUGGUGCAAUUUAGCUAAGAUGAAAUGAAUUACAUUUAUUUAUAUAAAAUAUGUAAGAUGAAAACUCCUAUAAAAAUAGAAUUUGUCAGUAAAAUUUUAUCAUCAUGACAAUUUGAAAACUAACAUUAAUAUGUACAUAUCG